AGGAGAUUAGUUUAAUGGUUAUAACGCUCGUUUUACACGCGAGAAAUUAUAGGUUCAAAUCCUAUAUCUCUUA
rnacentral:tRNA from 1 species